CCGAUCUUCCCGAAGAACAUGAUUCACCGUCUUGAUUAUGUCGCCAAUCCUGAGCUCGUUGAAGUCGUCUCCUCGUUGCUCUUGAAUCUCUAAAUCUCUCAAUUUCAGCCAAAACAGUCUGUCUUCGAAUGAGGGACGACCGGGCUUUAAAUAAAAGUUCCCAAAAAUCCUUCAAUUUUUCGGAAUGUCAACUUUGCAUCUAUGGUUGGUCAAUCUU
rnacentral:lncRNA from 1 species